rnacentral:rRNA from 1 species
AAAAGGGGAUUAUAAGAAAAAUUAAAAUUUAUGAUUAAUUGAAAAAAAUAAUUUUUUUUUAGUAGUGAGAAAGGAAAGAUUUGGGUAAAUUAUAGUGUAUUAGUAUUGUGAAAGAAAUUUUUUAUUGGGGAAAAAGAAAAAUUUUGUUUUGUACCUUGUGUAUCAGGGUUAAUUAAAUUUUUUAGAGAAAUUAAUUUUCUCGAAUUUAAAAGAGCUAAAUUUAUAUAAAUUUAUUGUUAAAUAAAUAUUUUAAAUAUAAGUUUAGUAAUGAAAUGUUAUUCGUUUUUAAUUUAUCUAGUUAUUAAAGAAAAAAGUUUAAUUUUUUUAUUAUAAAGAUUAAUUUUUAUUUAAAAUUAAAUUUUAAUAAUAAUUUAUUUAUAAAGGGAAAAGCUUUUAUGAAAAAAUUUUAUAAAUAUUAAAUUUUAUAGUAAAAUUAAUAGGGUUAGAAUUGCUUAUUAUUAAAAUUAUGUUAUUAUUAUUUUUAUUGAUUUUAUAAUUUUUAUUAAUUUUAAAUUUUUUAUUUAAUUAAUAAUUUAAAUUUAAGUAAAUUAUAUAAUAAUGAUUAAAUUAGUAAAUUUAAAUGUUAAAUAUUUUUAUGUUUGAGGUAAUUUAAAGGAAUUCGGCAAAUUAUAUUUUCACCUGUUUAUUAAAAACAUGGCUUUUUGAUUAUAAUUUAAAGUCAAGCCUGCCCAGUGAUAAUAAUUUAACGGCCGCGGUAUUCUGACCGUGCUAAGGUAGCAUAAUCAAUAGUUUUUUAAUUGAAAGCUUGUAUGAAUGGUUAAAUGAGAAAUAUUCUGUCUCUAAAUUAUUUAAAUUUAAUUUUAUUUUUAAGUAAAAAAGCUUAAAUUUAAUUAAAAGACGAGAAGACCCUAUAGAGUUUUAUAUUAAAAUUUAUUUUAAAGUUUAGAAUUUUUUAUUAAAUUUUUUUUUAGUAUUUGAUUGGGGUGAUUAAAAAAUUUAAAUAACUUUUAUUUAUAAAUUCCAUAGAUUUAUGUAAAUUUGAUCCAUUAUUAAUGAUUAAAAGAAAAAAUUACCUUAGGGAUAACAGCGUAAUUUUUUUUAAGAGUUCUAAUCAAUAAAAAAGAUUGCGACCUCGAUGUUGGAUUAAAAUUUAUUUUUGGUGCAGAAGUUAAAAAUUUAGGUCUGUUCGACCUUUAAAAUUUUACAUGAUCUGAGUUUAAACCGGUGUGAGCCAGGUUGGUUUCUAUCUUUAAUUUUAUUUUAUAUUUUAGUACGAAAGGACCAAUUAUAUAAUAUAUUAUUUAUUUUAAAUGAAUAAUAUU